GGUUGCCAAAUUGAAAGAACAACAUCGGCUUGGUUCGUUGUUCGAUCGUAAUUAAUUAUUAAAUAAAAAAGCUCAGCUUGAUUCCGAAAGAGGAUAGUCUGUCCGUGACCUCCUAUGGGAAUCGUAGUGCGCGCCGGAAAAAUUAAAAUUAGAUUGAAGUGGUAACCAGUUAAACCAAGUUAAACUGAAGAAGAUUUCUAAGUGCUAAUCUCGAAGUUAGUGUGUGGUCUAGACAAAGACAAUAAGUAGUACGGAAAACAAUAGUACGGGAAUAAUUGUGAUAGUACGCUUAAAGAUCUAAACCACCACACGUGGCAAAUCGUUAAUCAACCCAAAUUGUAAAAUCAUCAUUAUCUACAAGAAAAAGGUCCGUUUAGUGGCCUUUUUCUUCUUUUUAUGUUGCUUGGCAGGACGGUAAUCGCUGGAAGUGGGUUCGGUGGCUUUCCAACGCGGACGGGCAUCCCUCACACCUUAUCGAGGUCUGUGGACCGACAGUGGGCAUUCCAUCGCCCGAGCAAACAACCAUCUCGUCAACCCGGUAGCAAACAGCCAGCCGACGAAUCAGCCAUCGCUAUUAGCCACACGUGAACCACCUUGUCGCCCCGGUAGCCAACAGCCGGCCGACGAAUCAGCCAUCGCUAUUAGCCACACGUGAACCACCUUGUCGCCCCGGUAGCCAACAGCCGGCCGACGAAUCAGCCAUCGCUAUUAGCCACACGUGAACCACCUUGUCGCCCCGGUAGCCAGAAACCGGCCGACGAAUCCGCCAUCGCUAUUAGCCAGCUGUGUGCCCGUUUCAAUCAACCAUCGUGUCGCCCGGUAGCCAAAAGCCGGUCGGCAAUUCCGUCAUCGCAUCAGUCACACGUCCGCCCAGCCAAGCAACCCUCUCGUCAGCCUGCCGAGCCGCCAUCGCUGUAAGCCACCAGUUCGCUGAGCAAACCUCCUGCAACCAGCAUUGUUCUCUGCCAAGCCGGUGGAGCGAACCAGAAGGUCCACGUGUCACCAUCGCAUCGCUGCCUACGCUGAAUCAACGUCCGAUCGUCGCCACGACGGUGAGAUUGGAGUCUAUCCCGUGGAUCUAUUCACCGAUCAAGUGAACGGUCCCCGAAGCAGCUGCUACCGGCAACCAUUCGCCGAUUCCGGUCCUUGGAUGCCGUCUACCAGCGACAUCAUAUGCCCUAAGAGGCCAACGAGUGAUAAGUACCCCUACAUUUAUAUGACGUCACUAUAGAAAGGCCAACGUAGGCCAAUAAAUAAGCAUGUAAAAUGAAACAAGUUGCGUAGGUAGCAUAUUCUUUCCAGAGCAAGCACUCCCUGAGGUUUCUUCUUCUUUUUGCUUUAUUGUCGUCCUCCGGACUCACAAAGGAGUCGUCAAGCCUCGCCCGCAGAGGUCAGGUACUGAGUGUCUUAUUUCGGUAAGCUUUUGAGCAUUAAAUUUUGUCACGAUAUCUUUUGGCAACCUUUCCGCUUGGUCACAGCAGAGAGCACGUGUCGCGCUACACACGUGUGUAUGCUCCUACUGUAGGUGAAGGGUGAAGGACUAGUGUGUGUGUGUGUGGAUCAAAGUUAACGACCCUG